rnacentral:rRNA from 1 species
UAGGGAAUCUUCCGCAAUGGACGAAAGUCUGACGGAGCAACGCCGCGUGAGUGAUGAAGGCCCUAGGGUUGUAAAGCUCUUUCACCGGUGAAGAUAAUGACGGUAACCGGAGAAGAAGCCCCGGCUAACUUCGUGCCAGCAGCCGCGGUAAUACGAAGGGGGCUAGCGUUGUUCGGAUUUACUGGGCGUAAAGCGCACGUAGGCGGACUUUUAAGUCAGGGGUGAAAUCCCGGGGCUCAACCCCGGAACUGCCUUUGAUACUGGAAGUCUUGAGUAUGGUAGAGGUGAGUGGAAUUCCGAGUGUAGAGGUGAAAUUCGUAGAUAUUCGGAGGAACACCAGUGGCGAAGGCGGCUCACUGGACCAUUACUGACGCUGAGGUGCGAAAGCGUGGGGAGCAAACAGG